rnacentral:rRNA from 1 species
UGGGGAAUAUUGGACAAUGGAGGACAUUCUGAUCCAGCAAUUCUGUGUGUGUGAAGAAGGUUUUAGGACUGUAAAACACUUUUAGUAGGGAAGAAAAAAAUGACGGUACCUACAGAAGAAGCAACGGCUAAAUACGUGCCAGCAGCCGCGGUAAUACGUAUGUUGCGAGCGUUAUCCGGAAUUAUUGGGCUUAAAGGGCAUCUAGGCGGUAAGACAAGUUGAAGGUGAAAACCUGUGGCUCAACCAUAGGCUUGCCUACAAAACUGUUGAACUAGAGUACUGGAAAGGUGGGAGGAACUACACGAGUAGAGGUGAAAUUCGUAGAUAUGUGUAGGAAUGCCGAUGAUGAAGAUAACUCACUGGACAGAAACUGACGCUGAAGUGCGAAAGCUAGGGGAGCAAACAGG